CUACGGGACGCUCCAGUGAGGAAUAUUGCGCAAUGGGGGAAACCCUGAUGCAGCAACGCCGCGUGGAGGAUGACGCAUUUCGGUGUGUAAACUCCUUUUAUAUGUCAAGAAAAUGACGGUAGCAUAUGAAUAAGCACCGGCUAACUCCGUGCCAGCAGCCGCGGUAAUACGGAGGGUGCAAGCGUUACUCGGAAUCACUGGGCGUAAAGGACGCGUAGGCGGGUUGGAAAGUCAGGUGUGAAAUCCUACAGCUUAACUGUAGAACUGCACUUGAAACUUCUAAUCUAGAGUAUGGGAGGGGGAGAUGGAAUUAGUGGUGUAGGGGUAAAAUCCGUAGAUAUCACUAGGAAUACCUAAAGCGAAGGCGAUCUCCUGGAACAUUACUGACGCUAAGGCGUGAAAGCGUGGGGAGCAAACAGGAUUAGAUACCCGUGUAGUC
rnacentral:rRNA from 1 species